rnacentral:lncRNA from 1 species
UAGAAAAACAAAUAACCAUCUUUUUGGUCUUAGGAGACAUUAAAGAAAAUAUUGGAGCAAAGUCUUUACAAAUAGCCAAAAUAAAAUAUGAGAAUAUAAAUUUUUGGGGAAAAAAGGAAAGAUAAGAAGGUAACCAAGGAUAAUAUAAGUGCUACAAAAUCGAAAACGGGUAUGUAACAGUGUACGGAGGGGCGUAUCGAACACUUUAGCCUGGGGUUCAAAAGGAAAGAGUUUAAGGAAAGUGUACGGAGGGGCGUCUCAAACUAUUUUAUAUUUUUAAAAUAAUCAGUUGAAGUCUUCUUGUUUUUUUGGUUUUAGUAUUAAGGUUGAUGUCUUCUUGGCGAGCACACUGUUCAAAAUAACAAAACAA